GUGUUCGCUUUGGCAGCACAUGCACUAAAAUUGGAACAACACAGAGAAGAUUAGCAUUGUCCCUGUGCAAGGAUGACAUGCAAAUUCAUGAAGUGUUCUAUUUAAAA